GAUGAACGCUGGCGGCGUGCCUAAUACAUGCAAGUCGAGCGAACAGACGAGGAGCUUGCUCCUCUGACGUUAGCGGCGGACGGGUGAGUAACACGUGGAUAACCUACCUAUAAGACUGGGAUAACUUCGGGAAACCGGAGCUAAUACCGGAUAAUAUAUUGAACCGCAUGGUUCAAUAGUGAAAGACGGUUUUGCUGUCACUUAUAGAUGUAUCCGCGCCGCAUUAGCUAGUUGGUAAGGUAACGGCUUACCAAGGCAACGAUGCGUAGCCGACCUGAGAGGGUGAUAGGCCACACUGGAACUGAGACACGGUCAAGACUCCUACGGGAGGCAGCAGUAGGGAAUCUUCCGCAAUGGGCGAAAGCCUGACGGAGCAACGCCGCGUGAGUGAUGAAGGUCUUCGGAUAGUAAAACUCUGUUAUUAGGGGAGAACAAAUGUGUAAGUAACUAUGCACGUCUUGACGGUACCUAAUCAGAAAGCCACGGCUAACUACGUG
rnacentral:rRNA from 1 species